rnacentral:rRNA from 1 species
AUUGAACGCUGGCGGCAGGCCUAACACAUGCAAGUCGAGCGGAUGAAGGGAGCUUGCUCCUGGAUUCAGCGGCGGACGGGUGAGUAAUGCCUAGGAAUCUGCCUGGUAGUGGGGGAUAACGUCCGGAAACGGGCGCUAAUCCCGCAUACGUCCUGAGGGAGAAAGUGGGGGAUCUUCGGACCUCACGCUAUCAGCUGAGCCUAGGUCGGAUUAGCUAGUUGGUGGGGUAAAGGCCUACCAAGGCGACGAUCCGUAACUGGUCUGAGAGGAUGAUCAGUCACACUGGAACUGAGACACGGUCCAGACUCCUACGGGAGGCAGCAGUGGGGAAUAUUGCACAAUGGGCGAAAGCCUGACCCAGCCAUGCCGCGUGAGUGAAGAAGGUCUUCGGAUUGUAAAGCACUUUUAGUUGGGAGGAAGGGCAGUAUGUUAAUAUCUUGCUGUUUUGACGUUACCAACAGAAUAAGCACCGGCUAACUUCGUG